AGUCACGGCCACACCGCCUGGUUCACGCCCGAUCUCGUUUGAUCUCGGAAGCUAAGAUAGGGUGGGCCUGGUUAGUACUUGGAUGGGAGACCGCCUGGGAAUACCAGGUGUUGUAAGAU
rnacentral:rRNA from 1 species